UACAGAGGGUGCGAGCGUUGUCCGGAAUUACUGGGCGUAAAGGGCGCGUAGGCGGCCCCGUGCGCGUGCCGUGAAAGCCCGGGGCUCAACCCCGGGUCGGCGGUGCGAACGGCGGAGCUGGAGCACAGCAGAGGCAAGCGGAAUUCCGGGUGUAGCGGUGGAAUGCGUAGAGAUCAGGAAGAACACCGGUGGCGAAGGCGGCCUGCUGGGGUGUGGCUGACGCUGAGGCGCGACAGCGUGGGGAGCAAACAGG
rnacentral:rRNA from 1 species